rnacentral:rRNA from 1 species
ACGGCGUUCUCGCCGGAUGUAGGAACCGACCCGGGGACCGCCGGGGCAACCCGGCGCCCCCGAGACGGGGCGAACCACGGUGAAAUGACGGAUCGUCGGCCCCGCGCCGGCGACUCGCCGAAUGAGUUUCUGACCUAUCAACUCGAGACGGCGGGGUAGAGGCCCGCCGCGGUAACGACGGGUAACGGGGAAUCAGGGUUCGAUUCCGGAGAGGGAGCCCGAGAAACGGCUACCACUUCCAAGGAAGGCAGCAGGCGCGCAACUUACCCUAAUCUCGAUUCGAGGAGGUAGUGACAAGAAAUACCGAUGCGGGACCCUACGGGUGCCGCGUUCGGAAUGAGUACGAUUCGAACCACCUAACGAGGAACGAUCGGAGGGCAAGUCUGGUGCCAGCAGCCGCGGUAAUUCCAGCUCCAAUAGCGUACGUUAAAGUUGCUGCAGUUAAAAAGCUCGUAGUUGAACGUUCGGGUU